rnacentral:rRNA from 1 species
UACGUAGGCAGCGAGCGUUGUUCGGAAUUACUGGGCGUAAAGAGUGUGUAGGCGGUGCUCUAAGUUCGGUGUGAAAUCUCCUGGCUCAACUGGGAGGGUGCGCCGGAAACUGGAGUGCUUGAGCGUGGGAGAGGAAGGCGGAAUUCCUGGUGUAGCGGUGAAAUGCGUAGAUAUCAGGAGGAACACCUGUGGUGUAGACGGCUUUCUGGACCAUAGCUGACGCUGAGACACGAAAGCGUGGGUAGCAAACAGG